UACAAUGUUCCCCUGUGGUGAGCCGUUUCUGCAGACUAUGGUCGCCAUUACAAGAUGGCGCUGGCUCCGCUGUGGUCUGUGACAAACAACUCCUUAUUUGGGAGAGUUGGCACAUGAUUUUUCACCACCCUGUGAGAAAGCUCCACGCGGCAGCUUUGCAUUGGGGCUUGGGAUGCUUUAUUAAGGCUGGGAGGGGCAUCCGAGAAAAAGAAGAAGAAAUAUCAAGGGCCUGAAUAAACUGCUGAAAGAAGAUUCCCGAGUUGCGUCUUCCUUGCGGGCAAGGGGUCGCGACAUUCCCCAAGCAGGUAUCUCCCCAAGGCCACUCUGAGGAGAAGGCACCCCUAUAGACACAACAAUCAAGGGUCCCCAACCCAGGCAUCUACCUCAGGCUGCUCUGAAGAGAGGGAGGACCCAGGCAACCAUAGAGUGAUGACCAAUGAGGGUCCCCAGCCUGGUGUCUCCUCGUGCUGUGAUAGUAGGAGCAAAUGUGACUCCAUUUUGUUUUAUGACUUCAUCCUGUAAAACAACCAUGCCAGGUAGAAGGGUCAUGACUGGGGCAAGAUGUUCUUCUCCUUUUGCUAUAGAAACCUUUAAGAACAUGAACUACCUAAUGGGGCAUUGUUUCUGUAACUAGGGUAACGGGGCUCUGUUUCUGUAACUGGGGUGACUGGGCUAACUGUGAUUGGUUAGGCUUCCCCCUGCUUGACUGCACUGUCCCGCUUCUGUAACCUGGCUUGCUUGCAUUGGCUAGACCCCCCAGCCCCGAACAUCCCUUUUGCAGUUUUCAGGAUUAUAAAGAGCGCCCUUGCAACUGUUUGGGGCUGAUCAGGGGAACAGCUUUAUGUUCUGGUCAGCCGCCACUGGUGUGCUUCAAUAAAG
rnacentral:lncRNA from 1 species